UAAAGAUUCAUCGCUGAUAGAUAGGCAUGCGUUCCAUUAGGCAGUUGGCGGGGUAACGGCCCACCAAACCGACGAUGGAUAGGGGUUCUGAGAGGAAGGUCCCCCACAUUGGUACUGAGACACGGACCAAACUCCUACGGGAGGCAGCAGUGAGGAAUAUUGGUCAAUGGGCGUAAGCCUGAACCAGCCAAGUCGCGUGAGGGAUGAAGGUUCUAUGGAUCGUAAACCUCUUUUAUAAGGGAAUAAAGUGUGGGACGUGUCCUAUUUUGUAUGUACCUUAUGAAUAAGGAUCGGCUAACUCCGUGCCAGCAGCCGCGGUAAUACGGAGGAUCCGAGCGUUAUCCGGAUUUAUUGGGUUUAAAGGGUGCGUAGGCGGCCUUUUAAGUCAGCGGUGAAAGUCUGUGGCUCAACCAUAGAAUUGCCGUUGAAACUGGGGGGCUUGAGUAUGUUUGAGGCAGGCGGAAUGCGUGGUGUAGCGGUGAAAUGCUUAGAUAUCACGCAGAACCCCGAUUGCGAAGGCAGCCUGCCAAGCCAUGACUGACGCUGAUGCACGAAAGCGUGGGGAUCAAACAGGAUUAGAUACCCUGGUAGUCCACGCAGUAAACGAUGAUCGCUAGCUGUUUGCGAU
rnacentral:rRNA from 1 species